UUUUGUCUACCAUUCCGGUUCCAUCUGCAUUCCCGGAGGAGUCCUGUUGAGGGCAGAGUGACUGUGAGCGAAACAUGAAGAGCUGUGUCACCAAGUUCCAUAAAAUCUGGGAGCCCAAGCAGCAUAUUUGUGGGAUUUGUCUGACAGAACGCAAUGGAAACAGAGCGUGGCAUUCGCUCCAUCUCCCCCAGAUGUUCCAUAAGUUUCUGCUUCCAUCAGCAAUGUAAGGAAGUGCCCAAUUCCUCCUACCCCCACAUUACUGAGAAUCUUAUCAAAUUUUUUGAUCUUUUCUGAUUGGGCACUGUGCUAAAAGCCUUACAUGGAUUGCCUCCUUUAAUUCUCAUAACCACCCCUCAGACUCUCCAAUCCUGAAGUCAAAAUGGAAUGCAUCUCUGCUCUUCCUCUGGGCAUCAUCUAAUUUUUUUGUUCUUGUUUUCCUUGUGCUGGAAUCUACAACACCCUCUCCUAGCCCCUCAACCAGCCUUUCUUCUGCAGAGCAACUUAGUUCUAAUUAGCAACUACAAACCUAUUCACCUACAUCCAAGAGUUCAGUAGUGUCUUUUAAGUAUGUAACAGGCAAUUCUUUUACAUUUUAUUGAGAUGACUACUUUAAAAAAAUUGGUUGCUACCCAGAACUGUUUAGAACAUUGCUUGCUUUAG